GCCGGCGUAGCUCAACCGGUAGAGCAACCGCCUUGUAAGCGGUAGGUUGCGGGUUCAAAUCCCGCCGCUGGCUCCA
rnacentral:tRNA from 1 species